rnacentral:lncRNA from 1 species
AAAUACUGCUGCUACUUCACUAUAAGUCUGUCACAAGUGAGUGAAAGCUCAGGGGCCGUAGCGAUUUGAAAGCUGUAUCAUGCACAUAUCACAGGCUUCCAGGAUCUGACCCGCCACACGGAGCCGCACAUAUCAGAGGGUCCAUCCACAUCUCAUCUGUAGUCAGAGAGAGAGAGAAAAAGGUUGCCUGGAUGGCUGGGAGGAGCACCUUCACCUGAAGACCUCAGAGGACGCGAUUCUUCAAGUGUUUAUUUCUGGGAUAACACCAGAGCAUUGUGUUUGUUCAUGCUCAUCACUCACUGUCACAACCGUGAAAACCGGGAAAACCAGUGUGGAUCACUAUGAAUUGGACGGAGCGGUGGUCAGAGUUCACAAGGCUGUGCAGACUGGCCUGGACCAAGAAGACACAGACAAACCAGAGACAAUCAUAGCAUCCUCUCAGAAGCCAGUGUGUGCUGCUCCUCCACCGCCACCACCACCUCCUCCACCGUUACCUGGAGGGAUUGGUGGUCCUCAUCCCUUGCCAGGAAUGGCGCCACCACCACCUCCCUUACUAGGUAUGGGCGCUGGACCCGCACCGCCUUUACCAGGUAUGGGCGCCGGACCCCCACCGCCUCCGCCUUUACCGGGUAUGGGCGCUGGACCCCCACCGCCUCCGCCUUUACCGGGCAAGGACGCUGGACCUCCACCUCCUCCUCCCUUCCCCGGCAUGCCACCUCCUCCAGGCAUGAUUGUGUCUCAGAGCAGCCAGGCGUUGGGGUGCGGUGCACCCACAAAGGCAGGUCGGUGCCCCACCCUGCGGAUGAAAAAACUCAACUGGCAGAAACUACGUUCUGUUACUGGUAAGUGGAGAUGUUUUGUUUUUCCCAGGUGGUCCUUUCUCCACUCUUGGCUGUUAUUUAGUCUGGGCUUUGCAGAGGAUUUCCUCAUGUUAGAGGAUUUGGAAUGAUGGUGAUGACAAAUGGAACCACACGAGCUGAUGACGGGUUACUUUCUUCCUUUUUUUACACAGAUGGUCACUCCAUGUGGGCCUCAGUUCAGAAAGAGCCACCUCCUCAAGAAGGA